CAACCCUGCAGCCUGGAACCCUAGCCAUACCUCUCCCUGACUGUGGACAGUACAGCCUUUGAGCUGAGCCAAGCUGCUCCCCUGGCGAUUUCCAUAAGAGUACCACUUAUCAGCACCUUGGACAGCAUACAAAUGAUUCUGCAUCUCCAGUUUUGAUCAGCGACUGGUUGAAUUCGUGGAUGCAAAACCUGUGGAUACAGAGGGACAGAGGCCUACUGUACAUGGCACAUGCCUCCUGAAA
rnacentral:lncRNA from 1 species